GGCCCCGGCCCGCGGCAGCUGAACGGCAGAGCCUGUAGCUGCACAGCUGUGCUUCCACCUGGCGUUCAGUACCUCGUGCCCGAGAGCGGAAAAGGGAAAUCGCGAGCGGAGGACCGAUGUGCUGGCCACGUGGGCCCCGCCGGGCCGACUCCGGACCCUGCUGCCGCCCAUUCCUCCGGUGCAAGGGACCUGGAAGUGAUCCCGGUGCCGCUCUGCUCCCACCAGCUAGGGAGCAGAGGCGCGGGAGGGAAGGGGCGUCCCGGGGGUCGCCAGCACGCUGCGGGCAGGGCUGGCAGCCGCCUCCACGCCCCCGCGCUGGAAGCCUCGUCUUUGUAACAUCGAGGUAUCCUGUAACUAGAUGGGUCCUGGCCUGCGGAGGUAGUUUCCCCUGUGAAGCCAGGGACUCAGCCAGGAGCGUGAGGGGACCCGGAUCCUGAGUCUCCAAGCCGCCCACUACCCUCUGCUUUACCGGAUGGAACUCAUCAGUAACUAGCUACAAAGCCCUGUGAGGUUUUGAAAAACUUCCUUGGUACCCAAAACCAGGUCUGAGGCACAGUCAGUGAAUACCUGUUUAAUGAAUGCAUGCAUAAAUGAAUGAAUGGAUGAUCCAGCUCUUCCUGGAGCAGGCACGACUUCCACAGAAACAGAGCAAACGCUAGCCGUAAGCAGAAAGAACGUUAUAGCUCCAGCGCUGAAUGAGACAUCUUUGAUUCUGUGGUGAUGCGGACUUUGUGCCUCUCUGUGAGGAAUCACUUUGUUCCAAUGACGCAAUUUUCCUCACACUCCGGAAGUGUCCUGCACUGCCAGAAUCGCCCAGCUUCCCGGCACACCUAUCAACCAGUCGUUCCCAGCACUGCCCAGUAUGCAGCCUCCAGGCAGAGGGCCUGGAUGUCUUGGCAGCCCACCCCAAAGCCCAAACUCCUGCCCGCAUGCUGGGAAGGUGAGCCCUUGCCUGGAGAGCCCAGCAGGGGAAAUAGAAGGAGGGAAGGAGGCCUGCUCCUUCCCCGGAGCUCUGCUCUGCGGCUGCAGGAAGACCCGCAGAGGCCCUGGGCAGCAGAACUGUGGACAGCAAGGCUGGAGUUGUGAAACCCAACCACUCAGCUGGAUUCCAGAAGCUCAGGUGGUGGUGACUAAACCUGGCCUUACUUAAAAUGCAUGACUUUAUUGUCUUUCAAUGUAUUUUCAGUAAACUUCAUCCUCUCCAUUACUAUUUUCUUUUCUUCGGAAACAAGCAACAGAUCUUUGUAAAAAAAAUACGU
rnacentral:lncRNA from 1 species